CAAAGCAAUAUAGAGUAACUCAAGCUAAGGGCCCACAUACACACUAGGAGGAUGGGGAUGGAGCUACCAGAAAUUUGUGCCUUGUGAAAAUUAGACAUCCAGGCCCCAUCAGUUUCUUAUAAAAGCCUCUGCAUUCAACUGUAAAAACAGCAACCCGUUUGGUCCCCUUCUCUGCUGCAGAGAGCUUCUUUCACUUAUUAAAUUUUUGCUCCAACCUCACCCUUUGUGUCCACGUUCCUUAAUUCUCUCUGUUUUGAAACAAAGAACUCCAGGUGACACAUCACAAUGAAAGACUGCUACAUUGUGGUACAUUGGUAACAAUGUAACAAUGGGACUGACUUCACAUAUGGGUAGUCACUGAGAAGAGGACAACUGGCUACAAAUAUCAACAGGCUUUAAGGGUCUUCUUUCCUUCAAGUCCAGUUCUUUGAAAGUCCAAAUUUGCUCUGAACUGACUUCAAGCAAGUGCCCACUCUUGAACAAAUUACUGAGGCUGGAGGAUAAAGACACAAAUUGGCCAAACUUGGAUUACCUGCCUUCUGCAUCUUAAAGGUAGGACCAGCUCAGAGAGUAAAGACUGAGAAUAUGAACGAAUGAUUUUCCAGAGAAAAUUAAGGAGUCAGUCCCAACUAUAAAUUUAAGAGGAUCACGGAAACACCCACAAACUUAUGAGGAUCACAGAAAACACCCCUACACCAACUUAUAGCCAAUCUAUUCAACGUGCAUUGUUAGCAGGUCACCUCUCCUGGAUCUCUGCCUGUAGUGCCCAAUUAAGAAUGGAAGAAACUCAGAGGAAAGAGUCUUCAUGUGUAAAACUUUGUGCCACGAAGAUAUAGCAGUCAUUCACUGAAACUAGAGAAGCCUUUAUAAUUUUAAGUUUGAUAUGAAACUUGAAGUGAUUUCAUUUUAGUUUGAAAAUGAUCAUUUUUUAGUCCCUGGCCAUUGAAGAACCAGGUGUUGAGAUGGUCAAUCAGGACAAUGAGCCAAACUUAAAGUAACAAUCAAGCUUUUAUUCACUGACUGUGGCAUAGCAAUCAAGAGGCAAACGUUGGCACUGGCUCACUGGCGUUUCUUUUUUUUCCCUGUGGAACAGCAGUAGGGACAUGGAUGAAGCUGGAAACCAUAAUUCUCAGCAAACUAACACAGGAACAGAAAACCAGAAACCACAUGUUCUCACUCGUAAGUGGGAGUUGAACAAUGAGAACACAUGGACACAGGGAGGGGAACAUCACACACCAGGGCCUGUCCAGGGUCGGGGGCUAGGGGAGGGAUAGCAUUAGGAGAAAUACUUAAUGUAGAUGAUGGGUUGAUGGAUGUAGCAAACCACCAUGGCAUGUAUAUACCUAUGUAAUGAACCUGUACAUUCUGCACAUGUAUCCCAGAACUUAAAGUAUAAUAAUAAAAAGAUAUUAGCUAUAAAAAUCAAAACAAAUAACAGUACCUUAUAGAUUUUAUUACAGAUAUAAUGGUAAAAUGUAUGGCAUUAAGGCCAAGCGGGGAAAAACAAAAGUAUACCAAAUGCUGAUAAGGACGUGGAGCAACAGGAACUCUCAUUCAUUGCUGGUAGGAAUGCAAAAUGAUAUAGCCACUAUGAAAGACAGUUUGGCUGGCAGUUUUUAACAAAACUAAACAUACUCUUACUAUAUGAUCCACCAAUCAUCCUCCUUGGUAUUUACCCAAAGAAGCUGAAAACUUAUAUCCACACAAAAAAUUACAUAUAAUUGUUUACAGCAACUUUAUUCAUAAUUGCCCAAACUUGGAAGCAACAAAGAUAUCCUUCAAUAAGUGAAUAGAGAAAUAAAUUGUGGAAAUACAAUAAAAUAUUAUUCAUCACUCAAAAGAAAUGGCUAUCAAGCCAUGAAAAAAGAGAGAAAACCUAUAUGCAUAUUAUUAAGAGAAAGAAGACAAUUUGAAAAGGCAACAUACUCUAUGAGUCUAAGUAUAUGACAUUUGAGGAGAGGGAAAUGAUGGAGACAUUAAAACAAUUCAUGGUUGUCUAGAGGUUGAGGAAAACAAGGAUGAACAAGUGGAGUACAGAGAAUUUAUUUAUUUUUAUUUUUUUGAGACAGGGUCUCACUCUGUUGCCCAGGCUGGAGUGCAGUAGCAUGAUCUUGGCUCACUGCAACCUCUGUCUCCUGGUUUCAGAUGAUUCUCCUGCCUCAGCCUCCCAAGCAGCUGGGACUACAGGCGUGUACCACCACGCCCUGCUAAUUUUUGUAUUCUUAGUAGAGACGAGGUUCUGUCAUGUUGACCAGGCUGGUCUCAAACUCCUGACCUCAGGUGCUCCACCUGCCUCAGCUUCCCAAAGUGCUGGGAUUCCAGGCAUGAGCCACCAUCCCCAGCUGAGAACUUUUAGUGUAGGAAAGCUAUUCUGUAUGAUACUAUAAAAGUGGAUACAUGUCAUUAUACAUUUGUCCAGACCCACAGAAUUUACAACACCAAGAGUAAAACCUAAUGUAAACUAUGGGAUUUGGGUGAUAGUGAGGUGUCAAUAUAGGUUCAUUAAUUCUAACAAAUGAACCACUCUUGUGGGGGAUGUUGAUAAUGGGGAAGGCUAUGCAUGCAUGGGGACAGGAGGUAUAUGGGGAACCUUUGUAACUUCUGCUAAUUAUGCUUGAACAUAAAACUUUGCUAAAAAAUAAAGUCUAUUUUUAAAAGUAUACUAUUCUAAGACUCAUACUAUACAUGAAGUAAAAUAAUAUCACUUAGAGGUUUACUAAAUGAGUUAAAGAUGAAUGCUAUAAAUUCUAAUGCAACCACUAAAAUGAUUUAUAGCUAAUAAGACAAUAACAGAAUAAAAUAGAAUCAUAAAAAAUAUUCAGUGAACUCAAUGGAAGACAAAAAAGGAAACAAGAGAAAAUAGAAAAUAAAUAGCAAGACAAUAGCUUUAAACUUAACUAUGACAAUAGUUAAGAUCAAUGUAAAUGAUCUAAGUGCAUCAAUUUAAAGAUAGAGAUUGUUAUAUUUGGUUUAAAAAGCCAGACUUAACCAUAUGCUGCCUCACUUCAAAUUAAAAUGUUCCACAGAUAAAGCUCAGAUGGUUGCACUGUUAAAUUCUAGCAAACAUUUUAGGAAAAUAAUGCUGAUUCAAUACAAAUGUUUUUCCAGAAAAAUUGAAGAAGAAAUACUUUAAAACUUAUUGCAUGAACAAGGCCAGUGAUAGAUGUUAUUAUUGCAGCACAUAUGAGGUAUUUAUAGAUCUACAUGAGAUGAUUGGGAAAGCUUUGAAUUUUCUUUCAAACCUUGUUGAUUGUACAUGUCUGUAAGCUGUCAAUACAAUGCUGUGCCUUGAAAUAAUGGACAAUAUCUUUCCUGUUAGUACCGGAGGCAGUAACCAAAGAAAUAGCCAGGAAAAAAACAAAUUUAAAAAUGCAUCAUGAACAGAAUGUCAGCUAUGAAGCCAUUAAAUAUCUAUAAUUUUAGAAUUUUGAUGUAUUAUUCACUGAUAAACAUUUUAAAGGUUAUUGUAGAAACAAAGUAAUUUUGCUUGAUAGAAAUUUUGUAUAUCAUUUCUUUAAUGCAAGUUAUUCCAAUUACCAUUUAGCUAAUGAACCCUUCAAAUUUCAUUUGCAUAAUGGGUGCCAAUUUUGACAAGAGGAAUUUAUCCUGCUGUGAUAAAAGCAUCAUCGGACUCACCAAUGGAGUGAUGAUUAUUUAGUUUUAAAUCAGCAUGGACACACCAUUGAACAGUCACAAUCACUGGCUUGUCAUUUUGGGUCUCCAGAGCUCUCAUUUUCUUUCUGGUUAUAGGACCUGCACUCAAAACAUGAUUAACUACAUUCAACAUUAAGGUUAUAACUAGCAACGAGGCUUUCAUUUGAAUGGCUUCUUCAGAUCAACUGAAUUCUGUGAUCUUCAAACUACCCCUUUCUCAGAUAUGAUGUCAUUUUUAUAUGCUAUUAUCUGUGUAGUGGGGACUCUCUCAAACCUCUUUCUCUAGCUCCAACUUUGCCCUGAGCUCUACAGCCAUGUAUUAAAUUGCAUACUAGACCUCCUUAGCUGGGUAUCCUGUACUAUGCUAUGCUCUGUGCUGAGCACUUUCCAUGCAUUGUGUCAACCUUAUUACAGCCUUUUAAAGGAGAUAAUAUCAUCCUUAUUUACACAUGAGAAAAAAAGAGAUUACAAGUAAAUUCCCAAUUUCACACAGCUGGUAGAAGGAGGAUGUAGAAUUCAAAUCAAAUUACUCUGAGACCUAGGCCAUUUUAUACUGUCUUGUACCUUAUAUUACAUCUUGGAAUUAAUUUGACUUAAAAUUGAGCUCCUAGACAAAUUUGUGUUGUUUAAAAUCAUACCUUUAAAAAUAAAAAUAACUUAACCAUCCUGUACUCUUUAUAUUGAUAGAUAGCACAGCAUCCUUUUGGUCAAACAAAAAUGUCAGGUUUAUUCUCUGCUUUCCUCCAAGCCAAUAGUGGUAAACCAUACCAACCUGUUUGCAAAAGCCGUGUCUGGAGAUUUUCCUUAAGCAGAAUGUAUCCUGAUUUUUUGGGGAAUAAAGCAGUGGUUUCGUGCAGCAUAAUACUGGACAAAAUUAUUCUAAAACUGAUCACUCUCUCAGGCCAGAGCAUACUUAACAAUUAGUACAGAUGCCCACAGUACAACUAUGGCAAUUCAGAAUAAUUAUACAGAUACAAAAAAAUUGACCCAGACCAAUCAACUACUUUUCAUUCUCUUUAUGUAUCUUGUAUAUACACAACCAGAUUCAGGUAUUUUAUAAAACUCAUAGGUCUGUGAAAUAUCACUGAGUUUGAUUAUUAUGAUAAGGAGUGAGAGUAUAAAACCAAGCUGUUAUUUCUUCUCUCUCAUUAAACUCUAUGAAACCUAGUGUCCUCUUGGAAUUGCUGGGUGGAUUAAAUGUGAUAUAACGAAAUCAGUGAUAACAAUGUUUCCCAUGUAACACAAUAAAGCAGAGGUUCACUAUUAUUUUCAUUGAUUUAGAUAAGUUAAUUCAGAGUACUAACCACUACUGGGUGGAAAAUUGCCUUUAUUAGAGAACAGAGGGAUAGGUAACAUAAGAAAAAAACUACAUUUGAAAAAGAAUUAGGAACUUACCUAGAAAUCAGAGCUCCAGUAGUCAGGGGAGUUUCCAGAAUUUAACAUUUGUUAAGUACUGAUGGUGUGCUAGGAGGAGUAUGCAAAAUGCUUAAUAUGUUUUACUACAUUUAUUCCACAAGGAUUUACUUAGUACUUAGAGUCUUGUGCGUUGUGUUCCAAGCAUAAUGCUAGUAAAGAAACCUGUGAUAUCAGUGCUAUUUUGUCCUUUUAUCCCUUUGUAAAUAAAUUUAACAUUAGAACUUUAAGUCACUUGCCCAGGAUUUCACCUGUGUUAGUUAAAAAAUUGAACCUGCAUUUAUUUGACUCCAAAGUACGUGUUCUCAAACCCUACAUAAUGCUGUCUUCUAGAUUCCUAGAAGUUUUUAUUUCCAUAUAGUAAAAUUAGUAUAUAAAGCAUGGUUUAUAAAGGAAAAAAGAGAUUGGAGUUUGAAAUCUGGUUCCAUGAAUCGUUAAUUUUAUGAUCAUUGACAAGUCGGACGUCAUGAGCCUCAGUUUCUUAAUCAGUAUAAUGACUAAUAAACUUUCAAUUUAUCCAGCUUGCAAUGAAGAUUACAUGAAGCAGUGUAUGCAAAGUGUGUGAUAUGUUGUCUUAUAGUUAAAAAGUAUUUAUUAUAUUAUAUUAGAAGAUUGCUCUUCUUUUCACCCUGCAUCUCAGCAUUUUGUGUACUGUCUACUAUGUUAUAGACACUUAAGAAAUACCUGUAGAAUGAAUAAUGAAUAAAUGAGUAAACGAUGUAUACAGUGCCUCCAAAGGUUGCAGACCUCUCACAAUAUGAGUUCCUCACUGAAAUAGUCAAGAUAUACUCCUACAUUAUCAGUGUUCCUGCUUAUCUGCUUGCUUGCUUCUGAAUGAUUUUUGCUGUGAGAUAAUAUCAAUAAUGCUUCACCUUGUAUUUUAAAAGCAUGCAGUGCCAGAGGAUAUAGCUGGAACUGAGUAAGCACAAAUCAUAUCCAAACUAGGGCAAGAGAAAAUAAUCUGUUUAUCCAGAAUGCAACAACACUGUUACCGGAUUAGAAUUACCGGAGAUGGUUGAGUGCAAUCUGAUUUUAUAAAAUAGUCCAUAGAAUAAAUAUGCCAUUUAGAAACUUCCAACGUGUAAAGAUGUUUGGAGCUGUACUUAGAGUGAAUCUUCUAACUCAGAGAUGAAACACUGUAGCUAGGAAUAAUUAAAAGAAAUAUUCAGAUAACAUACAAUUGUUUUAAUGCAAAUUGGCACAAAAUUAUGCAUGGAGAAAUUAAAAAGCGCUAUUACUUUAGGAAAUGGGUAUUUAAAUUUAACUGACAUACUAUUUGGAAAUAUUCGUAUGUUACUUUUUCUGUAAAAGGUAUGAACAAAGCCACUGAGACUAACUUUGCAUUAUGGCCUAUGAACCUUAUUAUAAUAUCAUUUUAUAUUGCUCACAAAAGCAGAUUUUUCAAAAUUGAGUAAAAUAAAGCAACCAUUUUUUUCAGAAAAAAGCAUUUAAAACAUCUAACUUAUGUUAUAUUGAUCCUUUUUCCAGGCUUGACAAGUCGUGGUAGAUUAGAUUGUUACUCAAAAUACUUAUUCCCUCCUUUUCUUGACUUGAAUGUACCUGACACUUUGGGCUCUUCCAUGUAGCUUUUUUUGGCCAAUGAAAUUUGCGUAGAAGCAAUGAUAUUCCAGUUCUAAGCCUGACUUAACAGUAGGGUAGUCAGUAGCAAAUAAAAAAGAGUGCCUGGUUAAAUUUAAGAUUCAGAUAUGCCACAAAUAUUUUUAACAUAAGUAUAUCCCAUGCAACAUUAGACACAUACUUAUGCUAAGAUGUAUUCUUUCUUAUCUGAAUUUAAAAAUUAACUAAGUAUGUUCUUUAAAAAGUACAUUAAGUCCACUCUUCUUUGAAGACUUGUUUCUUAGCUGUCCUUACACACUAUCUGUAGGCAGCCAUGGUAACACCUUUUCUGGUCUUAUCUUUAUUAUCACACUCACCACAUAAUAUUGUAAUCAUAUGCUUUUGCAUUUUUUCCUCUUGCUAAAUGUUAAAAGCUGCAGUUGAUGUAUAGGUAGUCCUUAAUAGAUGUUUAUUAAAAUUUUUAUGAAAUGUUAUCUUAAGGAAGGGUGAUGAAACCUUUGCUCACAUUGAAAAUUUCUGGAAAUAACAUCUGUAUUCUCUUUUGCCUGUAUCAGAAGUUCACAUAAUGGUCUCCGCAGUAAGUUUAAUUUAUUUACAGUAUUUCCAUUAUCUAAUAUAUGACAGAGUAUUGUCACUAUGUCAGAAUAUUAAUUAAAAAUAAUAUUGUUUGUAAAGUACAUGAAGUAUUUCAGUAUAUGAUUAAAGUUAUAAUUUUUACCGUUGUUCAAUGAUAUAAUUCUCCUCAAGAAACAUUUUUGUCUUUGAAGAAAACAUCAAACUACUUGAAUAUUUAUCUUCAUGAUCUAUGUUUCAUUGCCCUUUAUAAAUAAGAUUAUAGAUUGGUAGCUAAAUGGAUGGAGAGAGAACCUGUGGGGGAAGUGCUGGAUGUGCCUAAUGUUUGGUUCUCUUCAGAGAUUUGUUUGAAAGGUCAUAGCCAAGGUUACUAAAUCUGUAACUUUGUUAAAAAAUACCCUAUUACUCAAGAAAAAGAUUCCAUUUUGAUUUACUCCUAGUGGAGAGUGAUGAAUCAAUAUUUGUUGAAUUGAAUUGAAGUGCAUUAAAAAUCUGUUUCCUGUAACUCUUUUAUCUAGAGCUCCUAAGUUAUUUCUCAGGGAAAGAAAAAAAGGUCUAAGUUUGAAAAUCCCAGUGAAUAAUAACAAUUUUAUUUCGAAAUGCUUUCUCUAUCUUUAUUUUCUAUGCUCCCCUUUCUACUGUCCUUAUAAAUACUCUUCUAACUUUAAAAAAAUUAAUCUCCUGUGUAGAGCAUCAGCAAAUGGAGCCAACUCACAGAUGGAAAGUUAGAAUUUGGGCCAGACAGCCAACGUAUUCAUCCACUGUCUUCCAGAGUUAGUCAAGUGUGUCCAGCUGGUUUAGCAUAAUAGGAGACUUAAUACAACAUAGCAUCAUAAUCAGUGAAUUGAGACUACAUUUUCUUUCAAUAGAAAUGAAACUAUACAGUCCUGGUGAGUCUUCCACAGACUAUGGGGAAAAGCACAAGCCAGUUUAAACUUAAGAUUCCUCAGGACCUAACAAAAGGAUUUUCAUCAUGGCAAGCCGAAUAUAUAUUUGCCUGGUACUGAAUCUUUUAUCCCAUUUACUAUGAAGACAUUUCCAUCAAUAGCUAACAAUAGCUACAUAGGAUAGAUUUUUAGGGCACUUAGGAAUAGAUAAACUAUAGUGUUCAAGUCAAAAUAUUCUGAUAGUGGCUUGAAUUCCAGGUUGCCAUAAGGUAGAAAGCCUGGAGCAUAAAAUUCACAAGUGACAUUUUAAUAAUUUUGCUUUCAACAAGGGCUCAUCAAUUUGUCACAGAUUUUACAGUGAAUAUCUUAAGCACUAUCAUCUAAUUAUGAGACAAAUUCUCCUUCACAUCAUUCCUACCCAGCAGAUAUUCUCAGAGAAGUGGAGAAGUCAGACAAUUCUAAAGCUAAGUUACAUAAGUAAACAAAAU